UACGAAGGGUGCAAGCGUUACUCGGAAUCACUGGGCGUAAAGGGUGCGUAGGCGGGUUUUUAAGUCAGAGGUGAAAUCCUGGAGCUCAACUCCAGAACUGCCUUUGAUACUGAAAGUCUUGAGUAUGGGAGAGGUGAGUGGAACUGCGAGUGUAGAGGUGAAAUUCGUAGAUAUUCGCAAGAACACCAGUGGCGAAGGCGGCUCACUGGCCCAUAACUGACGCUGAGGCACGAAAGCGUGGGGAGCAAACAGG
rnacentral:rRNA from 1 species